rnacentral:rRNA from 1 species
AUGAUUGAUAAUUAUUUUGUUGUGUUUGCUCCCACUAUUCUUGUAGAUUAUGAAAAGAAUGAUUUAGGUGCUGGUUAUAUUGUUGAAUGCAUUCAUGAUUCUACUGAAAAUUAUUAUGAGGGAGGAACAUAUGCUUGUAGGAAUUGCAAUAAUAUCAAGUUUCCUCUCUACGUGCUUAAAGUUUUGAAGUUAUGCUUGUUUUACCUUCCUAUGCAAGUUGAUUCUUGUUCCCAUAAGUUAUUUGCUCACAAAAUCCCUAUGCAUAGGAAGUGGUUUAGGCUUAAAUGUUCUAGUCAUAUUCUUCAUGAUGCUCUCUUUAUGUUUCAAUUCUUAUCUUUUAUGUGA